rnacentral:lncRNA from 1 species
AGAAUAACUGUAGAUAAAAUAAACAUGAAUAUAUAAUGAGAACUUGUAAAGUUUAUAGCCUAAUACGUUUGAAAAAUUGUAGAAAUAAAAAAAUAACAAAAGUUUGUUAACAAUAACAAUAAUAAAAGUCACAAAAGUUGAUGGCAUUUUUGUGAACAAGUCACCAAAUAAGAUAUAAUGGUAGAAAUGAAAGAGGAAAAAGCAGAUUGAAACCAGAUUAAAAGCCAAGCAAAUAAAUUUAAAAGUGCUCAAAGUGCAGUAGAUAGCCAACAACAUUCUGUUUUGGGAAAUAACAUAGUCAUGUUUUCAUUUACAAGAUGACUAGAAAACAAAAGGUAGUUUUUGCCUUUUCUAGGGCCGUUCCCGAGGCACGUGGAGGUUCCCAGGCUAGGGGUCUAAUCAGAGCUGUAGAUACCGGCCUUCGCCAGACCCACAGCAAUGCGGGAUCUGAGCCUCGUCUUCAACCUACCAGAUCUUUAACCCACUGAGCAAGGCCAGGGAUUGAACCUGCAACCUCAUGGUUCCUAGUCCAAUUCGUUAACCACUGCGCCACGACGGGAGCUCCAACAAAAGGUAGUUUUUAAUAUGGCAUUUCAGUUAGCUCUCUCCUUCAUUUUGGCUUAUUCUGGUUUUGUUUUCUAAGUACUUUCAUCCUCCCCUUCACUCAGCAGUUAAUGACCUAAAUUCAUUUGCUGAUCUCACUCUUGUAUUCCAAAAUUUUCUGAUUGAUUUUUGGAUUCUGCAUUUUUCUCAGAAAUAGAGUUUGGAGAGGUACACAUCUGAAAUUUCACAUCAUAAUUAUUCUGGUAUACAUUCUUCAUCAGUCUAUUGAUUUUUCUGUAGCUGGCUCUUUUCUACUCAUUACACAUCUUGAUUUGAGAGAAUUCAAUCAGGGCAGUUACUUGCUCAAGAGUAAUCCUAGGAGGGGGCAAGAGAUUAUGACGUAUCUGGGGAAUUUGGCUGUUGCCCAGCAAAGUGGUGUUUUCUAAUUUGUUUGCAUGCAAUUUAUUAUAUUCUUCCCUCAACCCAGGAGGUGUAUUUCCCUUCACUUUAGAGCGAACAGGAUGUCGCCAUGUUUCAUAUUGUCUCUUGUGUCACAAACCUCCAAUUUAGAGUUCUCUCUUUUCAGCGGUUUCUGAUCCACCCCUUACCUCCUUGGUUUCUAGGUCUUCUCCCAGUGCCAGUCAGCCAGGUGAGUAUGAGGACCACUCACUUUUCUGUGACCUGCCUGGCCCUUCAUCAGCUCUAGCAUCAUUAAGCUUUUUUAGACUUUAUCACAUAAUCCUAGAAGAAUCUGAAAACUGCUAAGGAUCUUAGAGAAGAAUAGGUGGUACCAUCAAAGCAUUUUAAGUAAGGGUUUCUAAAAUAACGGCUGAUAUUGAAGAAAGUUUUAAAAUAUUAAAAAUAAGCCAGGUAUAAGGCUUGAAGUAUAGCAGGGUGAUUUUUAUUACAUCUUAAUUAAACAUUGUAUUCUCAAAAUUUGGAGUAUUAUGUAUUAUAGAUUUAAAAUUUUCUUUAAAUCUAAACCAAAGAAGAUUAAUUGUGAAAUUUAAGAGUUUUUUUUUCAAAUUGGAGUUCUGUUAGCCCAAACCAAGGAGUUCCUGGGUCUACCAGAAGCUGGAAGAGGCCAGUAAGGAUCUUCCCCUGGAAGCUUCUGAGAGCAUGGUCAGCCAACCCCCUGAUUUAGGACCUCUGGUCUUGAGAAGUAUGAGAAAAUCAAUUGCUGCAGCCUUCAAUUAUCUUUCUUCUCCUGAAAAAUCUCCUUUAUUCUAGAUGCAGAUGUAAUUUCAUUCCUUCUGUGGAGCCUUUUCUGACUCCACCAAUACAUGAAUACUGAAUUUCUCUAGCCACUGUCCUUUCACUGUCUUUUUAAAACACUCUUUGGCCAAACUAAUUACUUUGUGAUCUUCAUCCUUGUCUGAUGGCCUCUAUUCUGAACUUUGAUUCUUUUGUUGGUUAGAUAUAGGUUAUAAGCCCCAGUGUUUUUCAUCCAAUUUUGAUUAAAAUUGGAGUUGAUAGCUGAGGCCGCAAAUGUCAAGCUAAUAUUUGAUGAUAAAACUUUAAUGAUAAUAUUUCAGAAGCAAUUCACACAGGUGCUUUUAUCAUGCAAAGCAGUGGAUUUAUCUGUUACUUUCAUUUAUAAGAGAAAAACAGUAUCAAAUAUUUACAUGGCAGUUACCAUGAAAAUUAAGUGAAAUCUAUACUUAUUCUGUAUCUUGCUUCU